rnacentral:rRNA from 1 species
AGCGGCGGACGGGUGAGUAAUGCCUGGGNAAUAUGCCUUGAUGUGGGGGAUAACUAUUGGAAACGAUAGCUAAUACCGCAUAAUGCCUACGGGCCAAAGAGGGGGAUCUUCGGACCUCUCGCGUCAAGAUUAGCCCAGGUGGGAUUAGCUAGUUGGUGGGGUAAAGGCUCACCAAGGCGACGAUCCCUAGCUGGUCUGAGAGGAUGAUCAGCCACACUGGAACUGAGACACGGUCCAGACUCCUACGGGAGGCAGCAGUGGGGAAUAUUGCACAAUGGGGGAAACCCUGAUGCAGCCAUGCCGCGUGUAUGAAGAAGGCCUUCGGGUUGUAAAGUACUUUCAGCAGGGAGGAAAGUGGUAGUGUUAAUAGCACUAUCAUUUGACGUUAGCUGCAGAAGAAGCACCGGCUAACUCCGUGCCAGCAGCCGCGGUAAUACGGAGGGUGCGAGCGUUAAUCGGAAUUACUGGGCGUAAAGCGCAUGCAGUCGGUCUGUUAAGCAAGAUGUGAAAG